rnacentral:lncRNA from 11 species
CUGGAUUUAAGGUAAGGUUCUUUUGGUUGCAAACACGCUACAGAAUUAAUGCAGUUUGGCACCACUUUAAUUGUCACAGCUCAAUGCUACAAAAUCAUGAGAGUUGUAGUUUUACAAGGUCUUUAGUCUUCUGGGUCAAAGGGUGUUGGAGCCUUACCAAACUCCCAAUCCAAUGAUUUCAUUAUAUUGACCUAUGGGAGUUAAAGUGAUGUCAAACUAUAUUAAUUCUACAGUGUAGAGGUAUUCUUUGCAUUCCAGUUUUGAACUUCAAAAAACAAACUUGGCUUUUAGUUCUUUUUGGUAUAUGAACUAUGUGAGAUGAAGUGAUGUCAAACUGCAUUAAUUCUACAGUGUAGAUGUACGUAGCCUUUGCUGCUUUUCUUCCUUUGCAGCAAUUGCAAACUCAAACUGACAAUUUUCACCAAAAUAUGUCAUUCCUAGGAGCAAAAUACGAACGGCCUCCCAAUCCACAAACCGCAGGCGAAGGCCACACGCCGAUCACAAUAUCUGCCGCAUACCAAUCAUCCCAGCCUCAUCAAGUCACUGAUGCCCCUGGCCUCUCAUUUGGCUCCUCCACAUUCUCCUAAUGCCGAAGAUAAAUUCAAAGUGACAAGACUAUGAACAUUUGAUUGAAAUAUAAUGAAACAAAAUAGAGCAAUACUUAGG